GCAUAAUCAAUAGUUUUUUAAUUGGGAACUGGAAUGAAGGGUUAGACUAAAGAGAAGGUUUUGUUUAAUUAUUUUGAAUUUAAAUUAAAAGUAAAAAUGCUUUUAUAGAACUUUGGGACGAGAAGACCCUAGAAGCUUAAAAAAUUUUUUGUUGGGGUAACAUUUGAAGAUAAAAAUUUUUGAAAGUUACUCUAGGGAUAACAGCAUUAUUUAAUUAGCGAGUUCUUAUUAAUAAUUAAGUUUGUGACCUCGAUGUUGAAUUAAUU
rnacentral:rRNA from 1 species